GGGGAAUUAGUUUAGGGGUAGAAUAAAAGCAUGGCAUGUUUUAGGCCCGAGUUCGAUUCUCGGAUUCUCCACCA
rnacentral:tRNA from 1 species